GGGCCCGUCGUCUAGCUGGAUCAGGACACAGAUGAAAAGCCUGGAAUCCGGGGUUCAAAUCCCCGCGGGCCCGCCA
rnacentral:tRNA from 1 species